GAUGAACGCUGGCGGCGUGCCUAAUACAUGCAAGUCGAGCGAACAGACGAGGCGCUUGCUCCUUUGACGUUAGCGGCGGACGGGUGAGUAACACGUGGAUACCCUACCUAUAAGACUGGGAUAACUUCGGGAAACCGGAGCUAAUACCGGAUAACAUGUUGAACCGCAUGGUUCAACAGUAAAAGACGGUCUUGCUGUCACUUAUCGAUGGAUCCGCGCCGCAUUAGCUAGUUGGUAAGGUAACGGCUUACCAAGGCAACGAUGCGUAGCCGACCUGAGAGGGUGAUCGGCCACACGGGAACGGAGACACGGUCCAGACUCCUACGGGAGGCAGCAGUAGGGAAUCUUCCGCAAUGGGCGAAAGCCUGACGGAGCAACGCCGCGUGAGUGAAGAUGGUCUUCGGAUCGUAAAACUCUGUUAUUAGGGAAGAACAAAUGUGUAAGUAACUAUGCACGUCUUGACGGUACCUAAUCAGAAAGCCACGGCUAACUACGUG
rnacentral:rRNA from 1 species